UACAGAGGGUGCAAGCGUUGUUCGGAAUCAUUGGGCGUAAAGCGCGUGUAGGCGGCUAUCUAAGUCUGGUGUGAAAGCCCGGAGCUUAACUCCGGAAGUGCACUGGAUACUGGAUAGCUAGAGGGCGAGAGGGGGAAGUGGAAUUCCUGGUGUAGGGGUGAAAUCCGUAGAUAUCAGGAGGAACAUCAGCGGCGAAGGCGGCUUCCUGGCUCGUUUCUGACGCUCAGACGCGAAAGCGUGGGGAGCAAACAGG
rnacentral:rRNA from 1 species